rnacentral:rRNA from 1 species
UACGAAGGGGGCGAGCGUUGUUCGGAAUUACUGGGCGUAAAGGGUGCGUAGGCGGGGCUUUAAGUCAGGGGUGAAAUCCUGGAGCUCAACUCCAGAACUGCCUUUGAUACUGAGGAUCUUGAGUUCGGGAGAGGUGAGUGGAACUGCGAGUGUAGAGGUGAAAUUCGUAGAUAUUGGGAGGAACACCAGUGGCGAAGGCGGCUCACUGGACCGGUUCUGACGCUGAGGCGCGAAAGCGUGGGGAGCAAACGGG